rnacentral:rRNA from 1 species
UACAGAGGUCCCAAGCAUUGUUCGGAUUCAUUGGGCGUAAAGGGUGCGUAGGCGGCGAGGCAAGUCUGGUGUGAAAUCCCGGGGCUCAACCCCCGGAACUGCACUGGAUACUGCCUUGCUAGAGUACUGGAGAGGGAACUGGAAUUUACGGUGUAGCAGUGAAAUGCGUAGAGAUCGUAAGGAAGACCAGUGGCGAAGGCGAGUUCCUGGACAGUUACUGACGCUGAGGCACGAAGGCCAGGGGAGCAAACGGG